GAGCCAGUAUGGUGUAAUGAUUUGAACAUUGGACUAGCACUCUGGAGACCAGAGUUCAAAUCCCUGCUGGGCCA